GUUGUGUGUUGGCUUCAAGUGUUCUUUGAGGUGUAGUGUGACCCUGUGUAAUGUCUUCUGCAGUGUUGAGGUGCUGUGUGUGUGUUGCCAGUGUUGCUUCUUGUUCUGCCUCAUCCUUCACAGUGUUGAGGUGCUGUGUGUGUGUUGCCAGUGUUGCUUCUUGUUCUGCCUCAUCCUUCACAGUGUUGAGGUGCUGUGUGUGUGUUGCCAGUGUUGCUUUUUGUUCUGCCUCAUCCUUCACAGUGUUGAGGUGCUGUGUGUGUGUUGCCAGUGUUGCUUCUUGUUCUGCCUCAUCCUUCACAGUGUUGAGGUGCUGUGUGUGUGAUUCUUUUAACAACACACACACACACACACACACACACCAUCAUGAGCAUCCAAAUUCUCUAUCUCAUCCACACAACCCUCCCACCACCACUGUCCCGCCUGGCACUCUCCACAGGGAUUUUUCUAAGGUUAUAAGGGCACCUCCAUAGGACACAGGCAGUCAAGUUUCCUGGGGCCUCGAAACGAUUGCUACUUAACAAACUGCAAUCAGCACCCAUUAUCAACCUCCGGCCACCAAGUGGAAUCCACAAAUGUGUAAGAGGUUGGUGUUGCCAUGGUAGCAAGGUUUAUAAGUUGCACCAUCUCCUGAGGUGGUGUAAGUUAACAUCACCUUGCCCGAAAACUAUUAUAUAAAUGUUUGUGCACAAAACUUUUUUCAUUGUUUACAAGCUUUACCACCAAGAAAGCAUCGUUUUGUGAUGCAUAAAAUGAAAUCUUUCAUGGAACACUGAAAAUAAAGUAGGAAAAGGAAAAGGCUGAUUUGCCCCACAUGUGCAUGCUCCCCAUUCCGCCUCGCAGCAAGAAGUGUGUAUUGUGAUUAAGUAUUAUUUUUGUCAUUUCUCCUGCAUAUGUUGGAUAUUUGUUUUGCAUACUUCCACGUUCGUGCAUUGAGGUGAGAAAGACGCUUUCAGGAUCGCCUUGACCCCUUGGCAUCGAGUGAUAAUGAGCUCAUGCUCAAAUAUCACUUCCCUCGGCAGACCUAAUCCUCUUGUGAUUUGGUAUUUACCAAAUUACACCCAGGUUUUGCUGUCCCUGAGAUUGUUUGCCAGUGGGUCCUUCCAAAAUGUCAUUGGAGACACUGCAGACCUACGCAAGCGUCAGCAGAGUCUUUGAGUGUGUGUGCACCGAGUUGAGUGAGUGUGUGUGCACUGAGUUGAGUGAUAAGUCGGUGCAGGAAAUCAAGAUGCCUCCAACACACCUUGAUCAAAGGAGAACUGCACAACAGUUCUUCAGGAUAAAAAAUUUCCCAAGGGUUACUGGGGCCAUUGAUGGCACCCACAUUGCCAUCAAGGCCCCAGGUGUGGACGAGGCCCUUUACUUUAACCAGAAAAGGUAUCACUCCCUCUCAACAUCCAACUUGUUUGUGAUGCGAAUGGAGUGAUCCUCAGCUACUGCUCCAGACUCCCAGGUGCCUGCACUCUUAUGGAGGUAGCUUGCAGUACAGACCCAUCAAGUGUGUGAAAAUAAUUAAUGCUUGCCUGCUCCUACACAACCGCUGCAUCAAGUUCCUGAUGACCUACCACCUCUUGAGGAUGAAGCAGUGCCCCAUGCUGGUGCCGACCCUGCUGUGCUGCAGAGGGGUCUACGUGCUCCAGGCAGAAUUGUGCAGCAAGAAAUCAUACAAAACUUCUUCCAGCAAUGAAAUUGUCAAAGUGCCUGGGACAUGUUUUGUACAGCCAGCCCCUGCUCCUGCUGCACCAUCACCAGCUCGCCCAUGCUCAGAUGAAUCUGCUGUUGGGUUUCCUGCGCUUGAGAGAGAACUUCCAAGUCUGGGUGGCCACCUGCAAUACAAGAGGUCCUCAUCCAGUGCAGAUGACGACAGUGUCGAAUCCAGAGGCCCCCUGCAGACCCAGUAACACCAGGGUUGGAUGACCCCAACACCACUGCAGGUGGAAGGCUGUGGUCAUUCCAGAGGCCCUGACACUUCUGGAAAAAAAUUCAAAGUGCUUUCAUUACUGCAGGGUAUGGCAGUCCUGUAAAUGCUGUGUGAGACCACAUCCACAGCACGACCACCUCCACAGCAGUGUAUGUUGUCUCAUCUAGAGGUCACCCACCUGCAUGGAUAUGAAUGUUGCAAUUAUCAGCCACUUUGAAGUUCACAUGUAAAGCCAAAUGAAAUUGGUGUAAAUCAUGAAUGUAUUAGAGCAUAUUGAUGUUAUUUAGCACUGCAGUGGUCACUGUCUCAGACCUGACUGCCAGAGGUACUGUACAUACUCCUAUUUAUAAUCCAUUGCUUAGUUGGUUCUUGUAUGUUUAUUGACUAUAUGGGUAAAUUGUGUAACAGCACCAACAAUGAAAUACAACAAGUACACGAGCAAACUUUUUAAAUAAUUGCCAGGGUUUUAAGCACUGCUAACAGUCAUCUAACCUAACUAACCUAACCAUAACCUAACCUCAACAAAGUAAAACCAAUAUUCAAGAAAUGAAAUUCAUUACAGCAGUUUGGGUCCCAAAGGUUGUGCAGAAAAACAUUUUUUUUGGUCCCAAUAUGCAACAAAGUCAUACAGAGGAAGUUGUUCACAUUACUCAAAACAGUGUCCAGCAAUGCCCAAAACAUUAGUCAAUUAAAUUCCAUAAGCAAUUAGGUCAAGAAGACAAAAUAUUAAGCAAAUAUGGUAGUGUGGGUAAAUUUUUACUCUAUGUUCAUCUUUUCCACAUGAAACUAUUUGCUUUUUGUCAUUUUUGGCAUACACUGAAUUAGUAUGUUAAUCAAAUCUGAUGUAACAUAACCAAAGUAAUCUAACAAAACCAAAGACAAACCUGAAAUAGCUAAAAUAACCUUGCUUCUCUAAAAAUAUGUACAUGUAGCCGUUUAACAACUGCUGUCAUCAUUACAAUUAAUUUGCAGUUGGUAUAUGUGGGGUUCAAAUUAUUCUGGAAUGACAAACUGUAUCUGAUGAGAAGGGUAGGAAAGGCCAUGUUGAGACUGGUGAAGGAGUAAAAGAAUACCCUACUGUGUGUGUGCUGGAACCAUAAGCCAUGAUUUCACUUACUUGCAGCAGGACAUCACUCCAUUUUUGGUAAUAUCACAGUAAUUCCAUCCAUAUAGCCCUCUAUCCCUCUUCUGUCUCAACUGCACCAUGCUAGGUCUGCAACUAUGUCAAUGAAGAUGUGAUAAGAAUAACCAAUUAACUCACCAGUGCCUGCAGUGUGACACUGUUCUGCAGCAGCCUUGCUCUUGACCUGGGUCGGAGGUCCUUAAAUUUCCUCUGGACCUCAGGAUAGGCAAUUGCCAUGAAGGGAAGACAGCUGAGUCUGGGCAGGUUGAGAGAUGUGAUGCUCAGCAGGGCAGAGAGUGGGUAGCGAAGUGCAGUGCGGUGGGAGUAGAAACGGCAUUUCUACUCCAUACCCUGAAAGUGAUGGUGCCACACUGCUUAAUGUUACUGUAUGUAAAGCGUAUGUACCUCACGUCAUUAUUCCUUGGCAUUUAUAAGUGAAAUGUUCAAUAGUUUUCUAUUUGCAUGAAAACGUGUAAUAUGUGUAAGUAUCAGUAUUUAAUGCUAUAUUAAGCACCGAAGCCGAUGCUCACUUGUUGGUAGUGUGGGGUUAACCCGCUGGUCGCCUGCAGGCAUCACUCACAGCCAAGUCGCACUCAGACAAAGACGGGCAGGAUGGUGACCGAGGUAAAUACUUUAAUUUUGUAGUAAAAACUGAUUGUCAUAGUGCCAAGUCAAUUGCAUGUAUUCUUAAUGAAUAUUGUAAUAUGUUGAAAGUGUUUAAUAUCCGUGUAUAAUGUUAUUUUGUAAGAAAUUGAGACCGAGAACUUGUUCGCAGUUCUUACGGUCAUGCCUACCUCAUCAAUAAACGUGUCAGGGAGAACUGCCUUUCCUCGACCCUACAAUGAUGGGUGUGAUCAGUAAAACAGAUCACCUGAGAGCCAAUUGAUGCCCAGCCGGUGCGGCUACAGUUAAUGAAUAUUGUAAUAUGUUGAAAGUGUUUAAUAUCUGUGUAUAAUGUUAUUUUGUAAGAAAUUGAGACCGAGAACUUGUUCGCAGUUCUUACGGUCAUGCCUAUCUCAUCAAUAAACGUGUCAGGGAGAA